CCAUUUGUAUCGUCAGAUGAACCUACGGGAGUUAAUAAAGCCUCCCUGACAAUGUAGUGAAACUACAGCUGAAGGGCUGAUAGUGAGAUGUUAACAUCCGAAAGGAAGUAAAUCUACCUGAUAGCCAAAAUCGGGAUAGCUA
rfam:Legionella pneumophila subsp. pneumophila str. Philadelphia 1, complete genome.